AGUGAACGCUGGCGGUAGGCCUAACACAUGCAAGUCGAACGGCAGCACAGUAAGAGCUUGCUCUUACGGGUGGCGAGUGGCGGACGGGUGAGGAAUACAUCGGAAUCUACUUUUUCGUGGGGGAUAACGUAGGGAAACUUACGCUAAUACCGCAUACGACCUACGGGUGAAAGCAGGGGAUCUUCGGACCUUGCGCGAUUGAAUGAGCCGAUGUCGGAUUAGCUAGGUGGCGGGGUAAAGGCCCACCAAGGCGACGAUCCGUAGCUGGUCUGAGAGGAUGAUCGGCCACACGGGAACUGGGACACGGUCCAGACUCCUACGAGAGGGAGCAGUGGGGAAUAGUGGACAAUGGGCGGAAGCCUGAUCCAGCCAUACCGCGUGGGUGAAGAAGGCCUUCGGGUUGUAAAGACCUUUUGUUGGGAAAGAAAAGCAGCAGGUUAAUACCCCGCUGUUCUGACGGUACCCAAAGAAUAAGCACCGGCUAACUUCGUG
rnacentral:rRNA from 1 species